rnacentral:lncRNA from 1 species
UGAUCCCAGCCGGAGCAUUUGCUUGCGAACUCUUGUUGUGGCAAUUACGCUGGCAAUAGAAUGAAUGUGCUCCUAAAACACAAGAUAUAGAGCUCCCUAGAACUUAGUUCGCUGCUAGAAGUGGUUUACCACUGUCCCUCACAAUAUCUAUUGCUGCUAGAAGUGGUUUACCACUGUCCCUCACAGUAUCUAUUAUGUGUACCUUGAAUUUCUUGAUCCAUCCUUCUCCAUGUAUCCAUUCGAAAAAUUUGAAGAAGCAUUUGCAUCAAGCAUG